GGAGGUAGUGACAAUAAAUCACAAUGCGGAACUUCUGUUUUGCAAUUGGAUUGAGAACAACGCACAACACUUAUCGAUAAACAAUUGGAGGGCAAGUCUGGUGCCAGCAGCCGCGGUAAUUCCAGCUCCAAUAGCGUAUAUUAACGUUGUUGCAGUUAAAAAGCUCGUAGUUGAAGUGAAGUGUGAAUCUCUUGGAUUUUCGUUCGAAUUUCCUUUAGCUUCAUACUCUUUCCAAAUAGUUUGCAUGGGUAUUUACUUAUCUGUGUAUUGCAUUUGGUCAUUUACUGUGAGAAAAUUAGAGUGUUCAAAGCAUACGUUUGUUUGAAUACAUUAGCAUGGAAUAAUUCGAAAAGGCUUUCAUGUUCGAUUUGAUUGGUUUGUUCGUGAAGGCAAGAUUAAAAGGGACAGUUGGGGGUAUUCAUAUUCAAUAGUCAGAGGUGAAAUUCUCGGAUUUAUGGAAGAUGAACAAGUGCGAAAGCA
rnacentral:rRNA from 2 species